GUGCCUUAGCAGCACAUAUACUAAAAUUAGAACGAUACAGAGAAGAUUAGCAUGGCCCCUGUGCAAGGAUGAUAUGCAAAUUCGUGAAGCAUUCCAUACUUUU
rnacentral:snRNA from 1 species